rnacentral:rRNA from 1 species
UACAGAGGUCUCAAGCGUUGUUCGGAUUCAUUGGGCGUAAAGGGUGUGUAGGUGGCGCCGUAAGUCGGGUGUGAAAUUUCGGAGCUUAACUCCGAAACUGCAUUCGAUACUGCGGUGCUUGAGGACUGGAGAGGAGACUGGAAUUCAUGGUGUAGCAGUGAAAAUGCGUAGAGAUCAUGAGGAAGACCAGUGGCGAAGGCGGGUCUCUGGAACAGUUCCUGACACUGAGACACGAAGGCCAGGGGAGCAAACGGG